AACUUAGGCUGACCAAGGGCCUUCAAAGCCCUAAGUGAAGGUUAAACCCCUUCAGUUUCUGUAGGACUUG
rnacentral:tRNA from 1 species